rnacentral:misc_RNA from 1 species
UGUGGGAGCGAGCCUGCUCGCGAUGGCGGUGGGUCAUCCAAUGAUGAGUUGACUGUUACGCCGCUAUCGCGAGCAGGCUCGCUCCCACA